UUUUAAAAUAUAUAUAUAUAAAUAUAUGUAAUCGUAUAUAUUUUGUGUGACAAGGUCAUAUAUAACAGCAGUUUAAUGACAAACCCUGAGCAGAAGUACAAAUAAAAUAUUUAUAAUACAAAACAUCUCUUAAAAAAAAAAAGUUGUAUUUUCAAGCCAAAGGUCUCUAAAAGUAACAUUUCAAUGUCCAAAUAGGAAAUAUUGUACAUGUAACUAUAACACGAUUGGGCGACGAAAUAAUCUAUUUUAUUUGACAAA